UUACAAACAAUUAUAACAAAGUAAAAUCUCUUGUUUCCAUAUCUUGGAGUUCAUUUGCCCUAGCCUCAUCUUAUGUAUUCAUAUGUACAUAGCUAUUGAGCUAUUGUGAUCUCUGCUAGGGCUAUCCUAGACAUCAUUUUCUGUUUAUUUAGGAAUUGU